rnacentral:tRNA from 1 species
AAGGGAGACCUAAUUCGGGUAUAAGACGAAAAAAGAGUAGCCGAAACCAAGAAUCAAUCCCAAAAGGUCGGAACGAGGUAUGUGGCUUUCAAACUAGGUUCUGGGUUCACACAAGACCUGAAUCAGGAACAAGGGCUAUUAGCUCAGGUGGUUAGAGCGCACCCCUGAUAAGGGUGAGGUCCCUGGUUCGAGUCCAGGAUGGCCCACCUGCACAGGUGGCAAAAACAAAGAAGCGAGGAAUCAGCACCUUAUCUUAUCUAUAUAUAAGAGAGAAUGCUGGCUCUGAGUAAAGAGUCCAGAGGAACCUUGAAAACUGCAUAGAGCUAGGUGAAAAAGCCAAAAAAGAAGACCGCAA